UCCCCGUUACCGGGGCAGUCUGAAUAGAAAAAUCCAACUAUUCAUAAGGGUUGCGCUCGUUAAUGGACUUAACCAAACAUCUCACGACACGAGCUGACGACGGCCAUGCAACACCUGUCACUAGGUUCCCGAAGGCACUCACUACUUUCGUAGUAAUUCCUAGGAUGUCAAACCCUGGUAAGGUUCUUCGCUUAGCAUCGAAUUAAACAACACGCUCCACCGCUUGUGCGGGUCCCCGCCAAUUCCUUUGAGUUUUAAUCUUGCGACCGUACUCCCCAGGCGGGAUGCUUAUCGCGUUAGCUUCGGCACGGCCGGAUUGGGUACCGGCCACACCAAGCAUCCAUAGUUUAGGGCUAGGACUAC
rnacentral:misc_RNA from 1 species